UCACAGUCUCCCCUAUGGUUGAACCUCCAUGAGACAUCACAGCCUGUGACUCCCAAUGCAUCACAUGAAAUAUAGUCUGGCUGGGAAGCCCAACCCAAACUACAACUCCUAUGAGGCAGUGUGGCAGGUGCAAGACAUGGAUGACGUAUUGACGCCAUCAUAAGCACCUGGAGUGGUACCACCAGUGAUGCUUUAGGAAGAUUCUCCAUAUCAGAUGGGAAGACUGUUGCAUCAAUGCAAGCAUCCUCUCUGCAGCUAACAUCACGAGUGUUGAGGCAAAUGUUAUGUAACAUCAACUUCGCUGGUUUGGUCA